GCUUAAUACAUGCAAGUCAACUUGACUUUAGAUAGCAAUAUCGAAAGUAGGGUGGCGCACGGGUGCGUAACGCGUAGGUAAUCUGCCCUGAGGUCUGACAUAACCCGUCGAAAGGCGGGCUAACAUCAGAUGAUAUAUAAUCACGACAUCGUGGAAAUAUCAAAUCUUCGGAGCCUUGGGAUGAGCCUGCGUCUGAUUAGGUAGUUGGCGGAGUAAUCGCCCACCAAGCCUACGAUCAGUAGCUGGUCUGAGAGGAUGAUCAGCCACACUGGAACUGAGACACGGUCCAGACUCCUACGGGAGGCAGCAGUAAGGAAUAUUGCUCAAUGGGGGGAAACCCUGAAGCAGCAACGCCGCGUGAAGGAUGAAAUACUUUGUAUGUAAACUUCUGUAAGAUGGGAAAAAUAUUCUCCUCGGGAGAAUUGAUUGUACCAUCAGAGUAAGCCCCGGCUAACUACGUG
rnacentral:rRNA from 1 species